rnacentral:rRNA from 1 species
AGUGAACGCUGGCGGUAGGCCCAACACAUGCAAGUCGAACGGCAGCACAGUAAGAGCUUGCUCUUACGGGUGGCGAGUGGCGGACGGGUGAGGAAUACAUCGGAAUCUACUUUUUCGUGGGGGAUAACGUAGGGAAACUUACGCUAAUACCGCAUAAGACCUACGGGUGAAAGCAGGGGAUCUUCGGACCUUGCGCGAUUGAAUGAGCCGAUGUCGGAUUAGCUAGUUGGCGGGGUAAAGGCCCACCAAGGCGACGAUCCGUAGCUGGUCUGAGAGGAUGAUCAGCCACACUGGAACUGAGACACGGUCCAGACUCCUACGGGAGGCAGCAGUGGGGAAUAUUGGACAAUGGGCGCAAGCCUGAUCCAGCCAUACCGCGUGGGUGAAGAAGGCCUUCGGGUUGUAAAGCCCUUUUGUUGGGAAAGAAAAGCAGCAGGUUAAUACCCCGCUGUUCUGACGGUACCCAAAGAAUAAGCACCGGCUAACUUCGUG